AUUGAACGCUGGCGGCAGGCUUAACACUGCAAGUCGAGCGGAGCGAGGGUGCUUGCACCUUAGCUUAGCGGCGGACGGGUGAGUAAUGCUUAGGAAUCUGCCUAUUAGUGGGGGACAACAUUCCGAAAGGAAUGCUAAUACCGCAUACGCCCUACGGGGGAAAGCAGGGGAUCUUCGGACCUUGCGCUAAUAGAUGAGCCUAAGUCGGAUUAGCUAGUUGGUGGGGUAAAGGCCUACCAAGGCGACGAUCUGUAGCGGGUCUGAGAGGAUGAUCCGCCACACUGGGACUGAGACACGGCCCAGACUCCUACGGGAGGUAGCAGUGGGGAAUAUUGGACAAUGGGCGGAAGCCUGAUCCAGCCAUGCCGCGUGUGUGAAGAAGGCCUUUUGGUUGUAAAGCACUUUAAGCGAGGAGGAGGCUACUAGUAUUAAUACUACUGGAUAGUGGACGUUACUCGCAGAAUAAGCACCGGCUAACUCUGUGCCAGCCGCCGCUGUAA
rnacentral:rRNA from 1 species